AUUGAACGCUGGCGGCAUGCUUUACACAUGCAAGUCGAACGGUAACAGGCCGCAAGGUGCUGACGAGUGGCGAACGGGUGAGUAAUGCAUCGGAACGUGCCCAGUCGUGGGGGAUAACGCAGCGAAAGCUGCACUAAUACCGCAUACGAUCUAUGGAUGAAAGCGGGGGACCGUAAGGCCUCGCGCGAUUGGAGCGGCCGAUGUCAGAUUAGGUAGGUGGUGGGGUAAAGGCUCACCAAGCCAACGAUCUGUAGCUGGUCUGAGAGGACGACCAGCCACACUGGGACUGAGACACGGCCCAGACUCCUACGGGAGGCAGCAGUGGGGAAUUUUGGACAAUGGGCGCAAGCCUGAUCCAGCAAUGCCGCGUGCAGGAAGAAGGCCUUCGGGUUGUAAACUGCUUUUGUACGGAACGAAACGGUCCUGGUUAAUACCUGGGGCUAAUGACGGUACCGUAAGAAUAAGCACCGGUUAACUACGUGCCAGCCGCCGCGGUAAUAC
rnacentral:rRNA from 1 species